rnacentral:rRNA from 1 species
GCUGACGAGCGGCGGACGGGUGAGUAAUGCUUAGGAAACUGCCCAGUAGUGGGGGAUAGCCCGGGGAAACCCGGAUUAAUACCGCGUACGCCCUUCGGGGGAAAGCAGGGGAUCUUCGGACCUUGCGCUAUUGGAUGUGCCUAAGUCGGAUUAGCUAGUUGGUGGGGUAAAGGCCUACCAAGGCGACGAUCCGUAGCUGGUCUGAGAGGAUGAUCAGCCACAUCGGGACUGAGACACGGCCCGAACUCCUACGGGAGGCAGCAGUGGGGAAUAUUGGACAAUGGGGGCAACCCUGAUCCAGCCAUGCCGCGUGUGUGAAGAAGGCUUUCGGGUUGUAAAGCACUUUCAGUGAGGAGGAAAAGUUAGUCGUUAAUACCGGCUAGCCUUGACGUUACUCACAGAAGAAGCACCGGCUAACUCCGUGCCAGCAGCCGCGGUAAUACGGAGGGUGCAAGCGUUAAUCGGAAUUACUGGGCGUAAAGCGCGCGUAGGUGGUUUGAUAAGCGAGAUGUGAAAGCCCCGGGCUUAACCUGGGAACGGCAUUUCGAACUGUUA